rnacentral:rRNA from 1 species
GACAGAGGGUGCAAACGUUGUUCGGAAUUACUGGGCGUAAAGGGCUCGUAGGCGGCCAACUAAGUCAGACGUGAAAUCCCUCGGCUUAACCGGGGAACUGCGUCUGAUACUGGAUGGCUUGAGAUUGGGAGAGGGAUGCGGAAUUCCAGGUGUAGCGGUGAAAUGCGUAGAUAUCUGGAGGAACACCGGUGGCGAAGGCGGCAUCCUGGACCAACACUGACGCUGAGGAGCGAAAGCCAGGGGAGCAAACGGG